rnacentral:tRNA from 2 species
CUCCCGGUAGCCAAGUUGGUUUAAGGCGCCAGACUGUAAAAUCUGGAGAUCGGGUGUUCGACUCACCCCCGGGAGA